UAUUGUAUUGUUCUAUGUUUUGUUGACUUG
rnacentral:piRNA from 1 species